rnacentral:tRNA from 4 species
GGUCGGAAGUUCAAGUCUUCCCAGGCCCACCACACUCAUCGAGUGAGCAUUCGUCUUCUGGUUACGGGGCCAUAGCUCAGCUGGGAGAGCGCGUGCUUUGCAAGCAUGAGGUCGUCGGUUCGAUCCCGUCUGGCUCCACCAGAUGGUUUGAUCACCGACUACUCAUACCGUCGUCCGCGAAACAUCACUUCGCACUUACUAGUCCGGAUGGACAGUAAGCUGCGUGAUUUCUGACAUCGUAAAGAGGAGAUCGAUCCGAGUUGGAUCGGGCAACAAGUAAUUGUUGCGCGAUACUUCAUUAUCUCCGGAUCAUUUCGGCGCUCGUGCGUCUUCCAGGGUAGCUCACAAGGCUCGUCUGAAGGACACGCGAGUUGUAAAUGAUCCUUUUAGCGAAGCUUGACCGCCUCGCUAUCGGAACGAUCUUACGAAGCAAGCUGGUCUUUCUAAUCAUUGUCCGGCUGCAGAUAGCGUUCAUCGAGGGCGCGUGCCUUAGAGACUUAGGUUUCUUGGCAAUUCUGCAGACAACAUUCUGCCGAGUGUGUGGACAUUGAUAAUGAGAGC